CGUAUCACUUAAAGCGAUUCAGCGGGUUACGAUUGACGGAGCGAAGCGACGUCAAAGCGUAUACAAAGUCGAGUCGGUUUAAGGAUACGUUCGUUGGGUAGGGGAGCGUUCUGUAAGCCUGUGAAGGUGGCCUGUGAGGGUUGCUGGAGGUAUCAGAAGUGCGAAUGCUGACAUAAGUAACGAUAAAGCGGGUGAAAAGCCCGCUCGCCGGAAGACCAAGGGUUCCUGUCCAACGUUAAUCGGGGCAGGGUGAGUCGACCCCUAAGGCGAGGCCGAAAGGCGUAGUCGAUGGGAAACAGGUUAAUAUUCCUGUACUUGGUGUUACUGCGAAGGGGGGACGGAGAAGGCUAUGUUGGCCGGGCGACGGUUGUCCCGGUUUAAGCGUGUAGGCUGGUUUUCCAGGCAAAUCCGGAAAAUCAAGGCUGAGGCGUGAUGACGAGGCACUACGGUGCUGAAGCAACAAAUGCCCUGCUUCCAGGAAAAGCCUCUAAGCAUCAGGUAACAUCAAAUCGUACCCCAAACCGACACAGGUGGUCAGGUAGAGAAUACCAAGGCGCUUGAGAGAACUCGGGUGAAGGAACUAGGCAAAAUGGUGCCGUAACUUCGGGAGAAGGCACGCUGACACGUAGGUGAAGUGAUUUACUCACGGAGCUGAAGUCAGUCGAAGAUACCAGCUGGCUGCAACUGUUUAUUAAAAACACAGCACUGUGCAAACACGAAAGUGGACGUAUACGGUGUGACGCCUGCCCGGUGCCGGAAGGUUAAUUGAUGGGGUCAGCGCAAGCGAAGCUCCUGAUCGAAGCCCCGGUAAACGGCGGCCGUAACUAUAACGGUCCUAAGGUAGCGAAAUUCCUUGUCGGGUAAGUUCCGACCUGCACGAAUGGCGUAAUGAUGGCCAGGCUGUCUCCACCCGAGACUCAGUGAAAUUGAACUCGCUGUGAAGAUGCAGUGUACCCGCGGCAAGACGGAAAGACCCCGUGAACCUUUACUAUAGCUUGACACUGAACAUUGAGCCUUGAUGUGUAGGAUAGGUGGGAGGCUUUGAAGUGUGGACGCCAGUCUGCAUGGAGCCGACCUUGAAAUACCACCCUUUAAUGUUUGAUGUUCUAACGUGGACCCGUAAUCCGGGUUGCGGACAGUGUCUGGUGGGUAGUUUGACUGGGGCGGUCUCCUCCUAAAGAGUAACGGAGGAGCACGAAGGUUGGCUAAUCCUGGUCGGACAUCAGGAGGUUAGUGCAAUGGCAUAAGCCAGCUUGACUGCGAGCGUGACGGCGCGAGCAGGUGCGAAAGCAGGUCAUAGUGAUCCGGUGGUUCUGAAUGGAAGGGCCAUCGCUCAACGGAUAAAAGGUACUCCGGGGAUAACAGGCUGAUACCGCCCAAGAGUUCAUAUCGACGGCGGUGUUUGGCACCUCGAUGUCGGCUCAUCACAUCCUGGGGCUGAAGUAGGUCCCAAGGGUAUGGCUGUUCGCCAUUUAAAGUGGUACGCGAGCUGGGUUUAGAACGUCGUGAGACAGUUCGGUCCCUAUCUGCCGUGGGCGCUGGAGAACUGAGGGGGGCUGCUCCUAGUACGAGAGGACCGGAGUGGACGCAUCACUGGUGUUCGGGUUGUCAUGCCAAUGGCACUGCCCGGUAGCUAAAUGCGGAAGAGAUAAGUGCUGAAAGCAUCUAAGCACGAAACUUGCCCCGAGAUGAGUUCUCCCUGAGACUUUAGGUCUCCUGAAGGAACG
rnacentral:rRNA from 1 species